AUUGCCUCAGUAACGGCGAGUGAAGCGGCAAGAGCUCAAAUUUGAAAGCUGGCCCCUUCGGGGUCCGCGUUGUAAUUUGCAGAGGAUGCUUCGGGUGCGGCCCCUGUCUAAGUGCCCUGGAACGGGCCGUCAGAGAGGGUGAGAAUCCCGUCUUGGGCAGGGUGCCCGUGCCCGUGUGAAGCUCCUUCGACGAGUCGAGUUGUUUGGGAAUGCAGCUCUAAAUGGGUGGUAAAUUUCAUCUAAAGCUAAAUACCGGCCGGAGACCGAUAGCGCACAAGUAGAGUGAUCGAAAGAUGAAAAGCACUUUGAAAAGAGAGUUAAACAGCACGUGAAAUUGUUGAAAGGGAAGCGCUUGCGACCAGACUCGGCCCCGGGGUUCAGCCAGCACUCGUGCUGGUGUACUUCCCCGGGGGCGGGCCAGCGUCGGUUUGGGCGGCCGGUCAAAGGCCCCAGGAAUGUAUCGCCCUCCGGGGUUGUCUUAUAGCCUGGGGUGCAAUGCGGCCAGCCCGGACCGAGGAACGCGCUUCGGCACGGACGCUGGCGUAAUGGUCGCAAACGACCCGUCUUGAAACACGGACCAAGGAGUCUAACAUCUACGCGAGUGUUCGGGUGUCAAACCCGUACGCGCAGUGAAAGCGAACGGAGGUGGGAGCCCCCCCGGGGCGCACCAUCGACCGAUCCUGAUGUCUUCGGAUGGAUUUGAGUAAGAGCGUAGCUGUGGGGACCCGAAAGAUGGUGAACUAUGCCUGAAUAGGGCGAAGCCAGAGGAAACUCUGGUGGAGGCUCGCAGCGGUUCUGACGUGCAAAUCGAUCGUCAAUUUGGGUAUAGGGGCGAAAGACUAAUCGAACCUUCUGGCAGCUGGUUCCUGCC
rnacentral:rRNA from 1 species